rnacentral:rRNA from 1 species
AGAGUUUGAUCAUGGCUCAGAUUGAACGCUGGCGGCAGGCCUAACACAUGCAAGUCGAACGGUAACAGGAAGCAGCUUGCUGCUUCGCUGACGAGUGGCGGACGGGUGAGUAAUGUCUGGGAAACUGCCUGAUGGAGGGGGAUAACUACUGGAAACGGUAGCUAAUACCGCAUAAUGUCGCAAGACCAAAGAGGGGGACCUUCGGGCCUCUUGCCAUCGGAUGUGCCCAGAUGGGAUUAGCUUGUUGGUGGGGUAACGGCUCACCAAGGCGACGAUCCCUAGCUGGUCUGAGAGGAUGACCAGCCACACUGGAACUGAGACACGGUCCAGACUCCUACGGGAGGCAGCAGUGGGGAAUAUUGCACAAUGGGCGCAAGCCUGAUGCAGCCAUGCCGCGUGUAUGAAGAAGGCCUUCGGGUUGUAAAGUACUUUCAGCGGGGAGGAAGGGAGUAAAGUUAAUACCUUUGCUCAUUGACGUUAUCCGCAGAAGAAGCACCGGCUAACUCCGUGCCAGCAGCCGCGGUAAUACGGAGGGUGCAAGCGUUAAUCGGAAUUACUGGGCGUAAAGCGCACGCAGGCGGUUUGUUAAGUCAGAUGUGAAAUCCCCGGGCUCAACCUGGGAACUGCAUCUGAUACUGGCAAGCUUGAGUCUCGUAGAGGGGGGUAGAAUUCCAGGUGUAGCGGUGAAAUGCGUAGAGAUCUGGAGGAAUACCGGUGGCGAAGGCGGCCCCCUGGACGAAGACUGACGCUCAGGUGCGAAAGCGUGGGGAGCAAACAGGAUUAGAUACCCUGGUAGUCCACGCCGUAAACGAUGUCGACUUGGAGGUUGUGCCCUUGAGGCGUGGCUUCCGGAGCUAACGCGUUAAGUCGACCGCCUGGGGAGUACGGCCGCAAGGUUAAAACUCAAAUGAAUUGACGGGGGCCCGCACAAGCGGUGGAGCAUGUGGUUUAAUUCGAUGCAACGCGAAGAACCUUACCUGGUCUUGACAUCCACGGAAGUUUUCAGAGAUGAGAAUGUGCCUUCGGGAACCGUGAGACAGGUGCUGCAUGGCUGUCGUCAGCUCGUGUUGUGAAAUGUUGGGUUAAGUCCCGCAACGAGCGCAACCCUUAUCCUUUGUUGCCAGCGGUCCGGCCGGGAACUCAAAGGAGACUGCCAGUGAUAAACUGGAGGAAGGUGGGGACGACGUCAAGUCAUCAUGGCCCUUACGACCAGGGCUACACACGUGCUACAAUGGCGCAUACAAAGAGAAGCGACCUCGCGAGAGCAAGCGGACCUCAUAAAGUGCGUCGUAGUCCGGAUUGGAGUCUGCAACUCGACUCCAUGAAGUCGGAAUCGCUAGUAAUCGUGGAUCAGAAUGCCACGGUGAAUACGUUCCCGGGCCUUGUACACACCGCCCGUCACACCAUGGGAGUGGGUUGCAAAAGAAGUAGGUAGCUUAACCUUCGGGAGGGCGCUUACCACUUUGUGAUUCAUGACUGGGGUGAAGUCGUAACAAGGUAACCGUAGGGGAACCUGCGGUUGGAUCACCU